rnacentral:tRNA from 1 species
GCUCGAGUGGCGGAAUCGGCAGACGCAGUAGACUCAAAAUCUACCGAAGGCAACUUCUUAUGGGUUCAAGUCCCUUUUCGAGCACCA